CGGCGGACUGGUGAGUAACACGUGGAUAACGUACCCCGAUGCCCGGGACAGCCUGUGAAAUAGAGGGUGAUACCGGAUAGAUCACUGUAUACGGAAGGUAGACAGCGGGAAAGGAGCUUCGGCUCCGCGCCGGGAACGGUCUGCGGCCCAUCAGCUGGACGGCGGGGUAACGGCCCGCCGUGGCGAGGACGGGUAUCCGGCCUGAGAGGGCGGACGGACACAUUGGGACUGAGAUACGGCCCAG
rnacentral:rRNA from 1 species